AGUUACCCGAGAUAACGCCGUCAUUUUUAUGGUGAAAACCUCGUGACCGAACAUUUUUCGCAUCUCGCUCGACUGAUAAUCGUAGUAAGAACAGCAAAUUGCGACCAGCCCUGAUCUAGAACCCGGAGUCCAGUGUAAAAACCAUCGUGGUACCGCUUCUCCAACACACAGCAGAGAGUGAGAGACAAUGUAAGUUUGCACUCAAGCCAGGAGGGUCCAUCCAGCCAGAGUGUAUCCAAUUCCUGUGGCAAAAGGCAACUAGGAGUAUUGCUACUCCCCAGGGAUGGAAUGCCAGUCAUUGCAGGCUACCUACAUGAAAAAGUCAAGCUUCAUUUCAAUCACUAUAUAGUGUUACUUACGUUCCUUGCUCCAAAAGAAGGACAUCUUUCCAUCCCAGUUUGGCAAGGUGGUAGGCAACUGAACAACCAACCACCCCUCCUCCACAAAUCACCACUUGAGCUUCUUUAGGUAAUGCUGAGUCAGAUGCUAGGUGACGAACCCUUGGACAAGUGUUGGAGUCAUGACUGGGAGGAAUAAAUGAUAUCUUGAAACCUUGUUCUGAUUCAGGGAAGAUGGUUAUGAACUCCUCAUAAAUUAAACAAAACAGCCAUGAAACUGUCAACUAAGCUAACUAAAAGGAAACAAUCAGUGACAAAAUUGUUGACACUGAUAACCAUCAAAAUAGGUAAAUUCCUCACUAGCAGAUUAGGUUUAUCCCUAAAACCCUCUUUUCCACCCCUUCUGCUCCUAGUAUUAUAGCAAACUGCAGUUAAAUCUAUACACCAUUUGUACAGAACUACUUCCUUGAAAGUGGCAAUGUGGGAGUUUUCUGUCAAAUAAUUGUUUUUAUAGUUCAUAAAAUGCGAUCAUGGAAGUCAAAUGGAUUAAACUGGGCAUAACCUGAGACUCAAGUCAUAUUGCAUGAUUUUAAACCAUUAACUUCCAAGAUUGUAUUCUUAACUCUCCCCUCUGGCUGAAACACAUUUCUUUGUAAGUUAGUUACAAGAAUUUGGUAUUCCAUCAAGGUGACAACUGCGACCUCACAAGUUUAAGGUUUCUCAUCACCUGUUUGCUGAACAAUGUAUAGAUGUUGUAGGGAGAAGUUACAUGCUAAUCACUUCUAGGAGUUAAAGGGUUACUCUUUAUUCAAACAAGGCCCCUUGCAUUGAAACAAAGACACACUGUCAAACCAUGGGAACCCUUGUCCUUGAAUGAUAAACCUUGUACUGGACUAAAAACCAACAGAACUGACUCAAAUACACUCUUAUUUCAAAAACAGACUUUAAUUUUAACAUAAACUACAUUUUUCCCCCCAAAAAAACACAAGAUAUGAAUCAAAAUCACUCUCUCAUGCUCUCCUUUUAUUUUUGUACCACUGAACUGAACCAAAAGGGAAAGAGUAUUCCUGACCAAAUUCUAGUAGGGCACCCUUCUUAAAAACCCUUUAUCUAUUUCUGACCAAAAUAGUUCAUUUUCCCACCAUAUUUGGAGCUAGAGCCUAAAGAAGGCAUAAAGAGGCUUGCAUACAUCCUUAACUUUUUACAAAUAAAACACAACUAUGGAAUAAACUAAGUUCCUUUUGAAUUUGAUUGAAGGAAUUAAAUCUACAAGUAAAAAACUAAUGUUAAAAGGUUUACUAUUUCUAUGUGACAUUUCAAGUAAAUUCUCAGAGAAAUAAAUACAUAAUUUGUCUUUCAAUA